rnacentral:lncRNA from 1 species
UAUGGAACUAAACCUUCAAGUUGAUGAACUGGAUUCAAACCUCUUAUCUAUUGAGGAAAUUGUGUCUGAAAUACGAAAUGAAAAUACUGCUUUUGCUACAACUUGGGGCGAAAUUGUUGGCUUGGUUGAAGACCUUAUGAGCGACCAAGACCCACAGAACGAGUUCGUCCUUGAUGACCCAACCAAAGAGUUAUACCUUGGAGACCAGCAAAAUCCUGAAAAAGAGUUUUACAGCAAUAGUACUCAUUGUGAGUUAUCAAGACAAUACCCACUGAACAAGUUAUACCUUGAUGAGCCAGAAUACAAGUUUUACCUUGGAGACUCACAAAUUUUGAAAAAAUCAGGAAAUGAGUUCUGCCUUGAUGGUUUAAAUAACUACCUUGGAGACUCAGGAAAAGGGUUCUGCCAAGAUGGUUCUAAAUAUGGGGCCUACCUUGGAGACUCACAAAUUUUGAAAAAAUCAGUAAAUGAGUUCUGCCUUGAUGGUUUAAAUAACUACCUUGGAGACUCAGGAAAAGGGUUCUGCCAAGAUGGUUCUAAAUAUGGGGCCUACCUUGGAGACUCACAAAUUUUGAAAAAAAUCAGUAAAUGAGUUAUCCUUAAGAGACUUUGUAAGUUGGUUUUACUUUGAAUACUUGAAAUGUGGGUUCUGGAUUGAUAACUCACAAUGAUAUAUAUAAGAGACACCUCCUGAGCCUCAGAUUAUUUUUUGCAUAAGCCACGCCCACUUUUUCAUAAUCCACGCUCACUUUUCCUAAGCCCUGCCCACUUUUCACGAGAUGUUUUAAACCACGCCCACUUUCCUAAGCCCCGCCCACUUUUCGUGAGGUGUUUUUUAAACCACGCCCACUUUUACUAAGGUCCACCCACUUUUACUAAGCCCCACCUACUCUUACAUCAUUUCCAGUUCAUCUCUGAUUCAAAGAAAUCACGAGAAAAUUCUAGAAUGUUAUUGUUCUGAAAAAAUUUCCAAGGCUUGUCUGGGCUGUUCGGCAAUUUUUUUCAAGCAAUCCUCCAUUUUGAAAAAAAAUUUCUCCAUUCUGACAAGGCUUGCCUGGGCUUGCCCAGGGAAUUUUCAAAGAAUCCUCCAUUUUGAAAAAAAAAAUUCUCCAUUCUCACAAGGCUUGCCGGAGCUUGCCUGGGGUUGCUUCGGGAAACCAUGCCCAACAGUCUUUCCCUAUAAAAGCCUCAAGCCCAGGCUCCAUUUUAAACAUAUUUUUUGCUGGCAAUGGAAUGCUGUGUGCUUGCUUGGAGCUCUACUACUUGUAUGGAACUGGGGGGG